GCGCCUGUAGCUCAGGUGGAUAGAGCGUAGGAUUCCUAAUCCUUGCGCCCGGGUUCGAGUCCCGGCAGGCGCU
rnacentral:tRNA from 1 species